UACGGAGGAUCCAAGCGUUAUCCGGAUUUAUUGGGUUUAAAGGGUGCGUAGGCGGCUUAUUAAGUCAGGGGUGAAAGACGGUGGCUCAACCAUCGCAGUGCCCUUGAUACUGAUGAGCUUGAAUACACUUGAGGUAGGCGGAAUGUGACAAGUAGCGGUGAAAUGCAUAGAUAUGUCACAGAACACCAAUUGCGAAGGCAGCUUACUAAGGUGCAAUUGACGCUGAGGCACGAAAGCGUGGGGAGCAAACAGG
rnacentral:rRNA from 1 species